CACGAUGCGAGCAUCUACAGACGCUCGACAGCAGACGAAAGCUGGGAGCGACGAUAGAACCCAGUAGUCCAGGCUGUAACGCUGCCGACUGUGUUGAGCCUCGGGGCAUCAGUGCGGAGAGAAGCUGCUCGUCGCUACUGGGGAGUACGUCAGCAAAGAAUGAAACUAAAGGAAUGCCGGGGAGCACACAACGGUGAGCUGCGCUUGCUGACUCACGCGGGCAGCUCACGGAUAGGACAGCGGAAUGAUAGCCGGGCUGAAGACCUUGCUUGACCAGCUGAGAGGAGGUGCAUGGCCGUCGUCAGUUCGUACUGUGAAGCAUCCUGUUUAGUAAAGACAGAAAAGAGAGACCCACGCCAACAGUUGCUAGCAUGUUCUCCGGGAAUGAUGAGGACACUGUUGGGACCGCCUCUGCUAAAGAGGAGGAAGGAAUGGGCAACGGUAGGUCAGCAUGCCCCGAAUUAUCCGGGCUACACGCGGGCUACAAUGGUCAGGACAAUGGGAAACGGCACUGAAAAGUGUAGUCAAUCUCCUAAACCUGUCCCAAGUUCGGAUGUGGGCUGCAACUCGCCCACAUGAAGCUGGAAUCCGUAGUAAUCGCGUUCAAAAUAGCGCGCUGAAUGCCUCUCCUCCCCCGUAACUCUCCCGACCGAAUGAGUC
rnacentral:rRNA from 1 species